UGAUGAUGAUGAGGGAAAUUUCUAAGAAUACUCUUAAAUCUCUCCCAAGCUUGGUAGAGACUUUCUUUUUUUCUGCUUGAAACUUAGAUCACUUAUCAAACU
rfam:Capsicum annuum cultivar Zunla-1 chromosome 3, whole genome shotgun sequence